rnacentral:rRNA from 1 species
GAUGAACGCUGGCGGCGUGCCUAAUACAUGCAAGUCGAGCGAACAGACGAGAGUGCUUGCACUCUCUGACGUUAGCGGCGGACGGGUGAGUAACACGUGGGUAACCUACCUAUAAGACUGGGAUAACUUCGGGAAACCGGAGCUAAUACCGGAUAAUAUUUAGCUUCGCAUGAAGCAGUAGUGAAAGACGGUUCUGCUGUCACUUAUAGACGGACCCGCGGUGUAUUAGCUAGUUGGUGAGGUAACGGCUCACCAAGGCAACGAUACAUAGCCGACCUGAGAGGGUGAUCGGCCACACUGGGACUGAGACACGGCCCAGACUCCUACGGGAGGCAGCAGUAGGGAAUCUUCCGCAAUGGACGAAAGUCUGACGGAGCAAUGCCGCGUGAGUGAAGAAGGUUUUCGGAUCGUAAAACUCUGUUGUAAGGGAAGAACAAGUACGUUAGUAACUGAACGUACCUUGACGGUACCUUACCAGAAAGCCACGGCUAACUACGUG